rnacentral:rRNA from 1 species
GACGAACGCUGGCGGCGUGCUUAACACAUGCAAGUCGAACGAUGAUCUCCCGCUUGCGGGGGUGAUUAGUGGCGAACGGGUGAGUAAUACGUGAGUAACCUGCCCUUGACUCUGGGAUAAGCCUGGGAAACCGGGUCUAAUACUGGAUACUACUUCCUGCCGCAUGGUGGGGGGUGGAGAGGGUUUUACUGGUUUUGGGUGGGCUCACGGCCUAUCAGCUUGUUGGUGGAGUAAUGGGUCACCAAGGCGACGACGGGUAGCCGGCCUGUGAGAGUGACCGGCCAUCCAGAGACCGAGGCGCGGCCGCGGUUGCGACGGGUGGGAGCUGGGGGGAAGCUUGCCCGAUGGGCGGCAGCCUGAUGCAGCGACGCCGCGUGUCGUAUGACGGUCUUAGGGUUGAAAACCUCUUUCAGAAGGGAAGAAGCCACUAGUGACGGUACCUGCAGAAGAAGCGCCGGCUAACUACGUG